AUUGAACGCUGGCGGCAGGCCUAACACAUGCAAGUCGAACGAGUGGUGGCCGGGUGAGUAAUGUCUGGGAAACUGCGCGAUGGAGGGGGAUAACUACUGGAAACGGUAGCUAAUAACGAAUACCAUCGGAUAUGCCCAGAUGGGAUUAGCUAGUAGGUGGGGUCACUGCUCACCGAGGCGACGAGCCCUAGCUGGUCUGAGCGGAUGACCAGCCACACUGGAACUGAGACACGGUCCAGACUCCUACGGUAGGCAGCAGGGGUGAAUAUUGCACAAUGGGCGCAAGCCUGAUGCAGCCAUGCCGCGUGAAUGAAGAAGGCCUUCGGGUUGUAAAGUUCUUUCGGUAGCGAGGCGUUAACUACAGAAGAAGCACCGGCUAACUCCGUGCCAGCAGCCGCGGUAAUUC
rnacentral:rRNA from 1 species